rnacentral:rRNA from 1 species
UACGAAGGGGGCUAGCGUUGCUCGGAUUUACUGGGCGUAAAGGGCGCGUAGGCGGAUUGACAAGUUGGGGGUGAAAGCCCGGGGCUCAACCUCGGAAUUGCCUUCAAAACUGUCAGUCUUGAGUUUGGGAGAGGUGUGUGGAACUCCGAGUGUAGAGGUGAAAUUCGUAGAUAUUCGGAAGAACACCAGUGGCGAAGGCGACACACUGGCCCAAUACUGACGCUGAGGCGCGAAAGCGUGGGGAGCAAACAGG